rnacentral:rRNA from 1 species
GACGAACGCUGGCGGCGUGCUUAAUACAUGCAAGUCGAACGGAGAGGCCCGGCUUUUGUUGGGUGCUCGAGUGGCGAACGGGUGAGUAACGCGUGAGUAACCUGCCCUUUACUGUGGGAUAACUUCAGGAAACGGUGGCUAAUACCGGAUAACAGCUGCUGCUGCAUGGUGUGGGUUGGAAAGGUUCGGUGGCUGGGGAUGGACUUGCGGCUGAUCAGCUUGUUGGUGGGGUAGUGGCUAAGCAUGGCUUUGACGGCUAGCCGGCCUGAGAGGGUGACCGGCCACAUUGGGACUGAGGUACGGGCCAGACUCCUACGGGAGGAAGCAGUGGGGAUUAUUGCACAAUGGGCGGAAGCAGGAUGCAGCGACGCCGCGUGCGGGAUGACGGCCGUCGGGUUGUAACCCGCGUUCGACUGUGACGAAGCGUGAGUGACGGUAAUGGAUAAAGAAGCACCGGCUAACUACGUG